GACAGAGGUGGCAAGCGUUGUUCGGAUUCAUUGGGUGUAAAGGGUCCGUAGGUGGUCGAGCAAGUCUGAUGUGAAACCCCAUGGCUCAACCGUGGAACUGCAUUGGAAACUGCGCGACUUGGGUACCGCAGAGGUGAAGGGAAUUCCCGGUGUAAGGGUGAAAUCUGUAGAUAUCGGGAGGAACACCAGUGGCGAAGGCGCUUCACUGGGCGGUUACUGACACUGAGGGACGAAAGCAAGGGUAGCAAACAGG
rnacentral:rRNA from 1 species